UGUUCUUGUUGAUUUCCAUCACUUUGGCUAGAUGAUGCCAAAUUCAUUUGAAUAUUUUAUAUUUUGUACUUCAUGUGCAUGCAGCAACUUUAUUUGAUUGAGACUCUAAAAUGGGUUUCAGACUUUUAGGUGGGCACUAAAAUUAUAAAUCAAAACAUACUUAAUUACUUUGGUUGCAGGCCAAAUUCUUUGUUUAAUACAAAAUUUCUUUGAUUUUGUGUUGUUAUGAAAAAGAAAUACAUGUAAUUAGUUUCUGAGUAGUUAAAAUUUUGGAGAGCAGUAUAAUAAUUAAAAUUUUGCUUCCUUAUAGUAAUAUGCUAGAUUUGUCUAAUUUAUAAAAUGCUUUUUUUUUUAAAG
rnacentral:misc_RNA from 1 species